UCCCAAAUGUGAUAAGCACUAGUCUUUGUUCUAAACUCCGGUAGAACACAUUUUUCGGACUGAACGGGAAGCAUGCCAUAAAAAACCCACCUCUGUAUCUUUUCUCACUUCAGUGAUGCUCUCCCCUCUAUUUUCAUCCUUUAGCACUCAACUGAUGUCCCACCUGUUCUGGGAAGACCCUACUCGGGCCCAGCCUCUAGCAGGUCCUGCCCACAGCUGGCCUGCUGGUCCUUCAUAUAAAGGGGAGCCAUGUUCUGCACCUGGAGCCAGAGUGAAUCAGUGAGUGAGGAGGAUUGUUCCAGAAGGAUCCGGAUGAGGACCCCUGCCUCCUCUUUGUUGUCUCCACCUCGAUGCCAUGUGCUGGUUCUGAUGACUUUGGCUGUGCACCUGAAUUCUUGUUCUGGCAGCGGGCUCAAAGCCCUGUCCUGUGUGCCCACCAAUCUCCAUUCUGGGAUUCAGUCAAAUUCCAGUCCUUAAACGUGAGCCUUCCAAGGAUUACUCUAAGUCUUCUUGGAACUCACCCCAGACUGAGACUGGAGAGAGUGGUGUCCCCUGGUACCUGCUUGUUCACCAGACUGAGCCUCAAAAGUCAUUGCCCUCAGCCGGGUCAGUUCCUGCAGCACCUAGGCCACCCCAGGGGCAGGUGUGAAGAUAGAUAGAUGAGGAUGAGCUUCAUGUAUUCAGAAGGUAGGCGGCCCAGGUCCUUGCUUUUCUUUUCUUUCUUUCUUUUUUUUUUUUAAUAUAUAUAAUUUAUUAUCAAGUUAGCUAACAUACAGUAUAUACAGUGUAUUCUUGGUUUGGGGGUAGAUUCCCGUGAUUAUCGCUUACAUACAACACCCAGUGCUCAUCCCAACAAGUGCCCUCCUCAGUGUCCAUCACCCAUUACCCCCCUCCCCAAUGCCCUGGCCCAUCAACCCUGUUUGUUCUCCACAUUCAAGAGUGUCUUACGGUUUGUGUCCCUCUCUAUUUGGAAACAUUUUUUUCUUCUUCCCUUCUCGCAUGGUCCUCUGUUAAGUUUCUCAAGAUCCACAUAUGAAUGAGAACAUAUGAUAUCUGUCUUUCUCUGACUGACAUAUUUCACUUAGCAUAAUACCCUCCAGUUCCAUCCAUGCCGUUGCAAAUGGCAGGAUUUCAUUCUUUCUCAUUGCCAAGCAUUAUUCCAUUGGACCAUUCCCUGCAUGGGUUCCAUGCCUUUUUGGAUGAUGCCGUUCUUUCCACAGUGACCGCAACCCCACGUGCUGACUGGAGGGCCUAGCCCUUGGAGAACCAGG
rnacentral:lncRNA from 1 species